UGGCCUAGUAAGGUAGGGCGGUGUAUUUUUGUUGCACCAUGUUCGAUGCAUAAGACUUUCUUAUUAAAGAUUCAUCCCAAACCUAAAUUAUUGUCCGACAAAAUCUUGGUUACAUGGCUCUCCAACCAGUUGGAUCUUACCAACCUCAACAUUGAUUAACAUCUAAUUUGAACUAACUUUUAUAAAAGACGCAGCAAGGUUGGGUCAAAUUAUAGAUAUCAUGACAGUUCAAGAUUGUAUCUUCAUCUUCCAUGUUGUGACCUAAUCCAACCCCAAAUUAACAAAUGACCAAAAUUGAUGACUCUUUUGGCUUGACCCUUCCAAUAUUAAUCAACCUAAGUCCCAUGGGCA
rnacentral:lncRNA from 1 species